CUUUAACCUACUUUAAAUCCAUCAAAAAUCACACCCAAAGUUACAGUUCCCAGCAUCAGAAGCUGCAAGGGAGUCAGCAGAGGUUUCCGUGACGACUCAAACAAAGCACAGUGAUGAGUGAUAUAUUGAGUCCCAAGGGACUCGGCCAAGGGAGAGAGGAGUGUGUAGAAAUAUAAGUGGAUUUUCCCCCCUCAGGUAUGCUUUGGCAGGGACAGACAGGAAUAGAUUGCUCUUCCCAAGGUCAUUGCUGUGUACUUCAGAAACUUUCUGUUCUGAAAUUCUUCAAACUUUGUUUGAAGUUCUACAAAGUUCUCAGAAAUGCUGCUCCAUUCUAAGCAAGACUGUGGGUUCUAGAAUCCUAGGCUGCUCCCCUAAAUUCCAGUUCCUUGCACAGAGACAGGCCAAAGGGGGCACCAAGGAACAUCUGCUGGAUGGAAUGAACAAGGGAAGAGAGGAAGGAAGGAAGGAAGGAAGGAAGGAAGGAAGGAAGGAAAGAAGGUGUAACUCUUCCAACUCACCAUCCUUCCUCUGCCUCCUUCCCUCAAAUAUAUCCAGGUCUUGUUCACUCUUCAAAAAACAAAAUUAUGAUGCCAUCCCCCAGAGACCGACCACAGAAGACCCCAUCACUGCCAGCCUAAGAAGAGUAGCUUUCCCAGGGGUAUGGCUGAUGCCAACUACACUCCACCAACCCUAUGCCACUCUCUCCAACAGCGAGCUCUCUGAGGGCCCCAACCACAAGGCCCAGAGAGCCAGCCCCAAACCCCUUUCUGAUUCUUAACAACAGAACAUUCUUUACAAAAAAGUGAGUUUAUUUUUUAAAUUAAAUAAUACACUCGAAGUAUAAAAUUUGCCUAGGCACAAACAAUUUACGGAACAAUGCAUACAAAAAGCACUAUGGACUACAUGUGAUGAUUUUAGCAUUCAUGAUGAUGAUUUUAUAUCAGUAUCCAACAU
rnacentral:lncRNA from 1 species